rnacentral:rRNA from 1 species
AUUGAACGCUGGCGGAAUGCUUUACACAUGCAAGUCGAACGGCAGCACGGGAGCAAUCCUGGUGGCGAGUGGCGAACGGGUGAGUAAAGUAUCGGAACGUGCCCAGUCGUGGGGGAUAACGUAGCGAAAGUUACGCUAAUACCGCAUACGAUCUAUGGAUGAAAGCGGGGGAUAGCAAGACCUCGCGCGAUUGGAGCGGCCGAUAUCAGAUUAGGUAGUUGGUGGGGUAAAGGCUCACCAAGCCGACGAUCUGUAGCUGGUCUGAGAGGACGACCAGCCACACUGGGACUGAGACACGGCCCAGACUCCUACGGGAGGCAGCAGUGGGGAAUUUUGGACAAUGGGCGAAAGCCUGAUCCAGCCAUGCCGCGUGCAGGAUGAAGGCCUUCGGGUUGUAAACUGCUUUUGUACGGAACGAAAAGGUUUGGCCUAAUAAGCUGAGCUCAUGACGGUACCGUAAGAAUAAGCACCGGCUAACUACGUGCCAGCAGCCGCAGUAAUAC